GGAAUAUUGCACAAUGGGGGAAACCCUGAUGCAGCGACGCCGCGUGAUCGAUGAAGUAUUUCGGUAUGUAAAGCUCUAUCAGCAGGAAAGAAAAUGACGGUACCUGACUAAGAAGCCCCGGCUAACUACGUGCCAGCAGCCGCGGUAAUACGUAGGGGGCAAGCGUUAUCCGGAUUUACUGGGUGUAAAGGGAGCGUAGACGGUGAAGCAAGUCUGAAGUGAAAGGCGGGGGCUCAGCCCCCGGACUGCUUUGGAAACUGUUUGACUGGAGUGCAGGAGAGGUAAGUGGAAUUCCUAGUGUAGCGGUGAAAUGCGUAGAUAUUAGGAGGAACACCAGUGGCGAAGGCGGCUUUCUGGACGAUGACUGACGUUGAGGCUCGAAAGCGUGGGGAGCAAACA
rnacentral:rRNA from 1 species